ensembl:lncRNA
GUAGUUUCCUCUGUGAUGAUAACUAGAGUGAUUUUAACAUCCUAUGUUACACAUUUUUGCAUUACAUUAUUUUAUUAUGAAAAGCAAAUAUUGCUCUUAUUAUCAAAAGAAUAAUUCUCUACUAAAAGAAUUCUCUACUAAAUUUUUUGCUUUACUAGCUUUGUAACUUGGGUGAAUGACACUUCACCCUGCCUUCCACAAAGUUGGCAUCUUGUAUAACUACAAUACACUGUCAAAACCAGAAGACGGAUAUUAGUCCAAUCUACAGACCCUAUUUGGACUUCACUAGCUAUAUAUGGAUUUGUUUGUGUUUGAGAGCCAGACACCUGGAAUGUGAAGUGAAGUGGGCCUUAGAAAGCAUCACUACGAACAAAGCUAGUGGAGGUGAUGGAAUUCCAGUUGAGCUAUUUCAAAUCCUAGAAGAUGAUGCUGUGAAAGAACUGUACUCUAUAUGCCAGCAAAUUUGGAAAGCUCAGCAGUGGCCACAGGACUGGAAAAGGUCAGUUUUCAUUCCAAUCCCAAAGAAAGGCAAUGCCAAAGCACGCUCAAACUACCAUACAAUUGCACUCAUCUCGCACUCUAGUAAAGUAAUGCUCAAAAUUCUCCAAGCCAGGCUUCAGCAAUACGUGAACCGUAAACUCCCUGAUGUUCAAGCUGAUUUUAGAAAACGCAGAGGAACCAGAGAUCAAAUUGCCAACAUCCGCUGGAUCAUGGAAAAAUGUAGAGAGUUCCAGGAAAACAUCCAUUUCUGUUUUAUUGACUAUGCCAAAGCCUUUGACUGUGUGAAUCACAAUAAACUGUGGAAAAUUCUAAAAGAGAGGAGAAUACCAGAGCACCUGACCUGCUUCUUGAGAAACCUGUAUGCAGGUCAGGAAGCAAUAGUUAGAAGUGGUCAUGGAACAACAGACUGGUUCCAAAUAAGAAAAGGAGUACAUCAAGGCUGUAUAUUGUCACCCUGCUUAUUUAACUUCUAUGCAGAGUACAUCAUGAGAAACACUGGACUGGAAGAAGUACAAGCUGGAAUCAAGAUUGCCAAGAGAAAUAUCUAUCAUUUCAGAUAUGCAGAUGACACCACCCUUAUGGCAGAAAGUGAAGAGGAACUAAAAGCCUCUUGAUGAAAGUAAAAGAGGAGAGUGAAAGAGUUGUGUUAAAGCUCAACAUUCAGAAAACGAAGAUCAUGGGACCAGAUGGUCCCAUCACUUCAUGGGAAAUAGAUGGGGAAACAGUGGAAAUAGUGUCAGACUUCAUUUUUUGGGGCUCCCAAAUCACUGCAGAUGGUGACUGCAGCCAUGAAAUUAAAAAACACUUACUCCUUGGAAGGAAAGUUAUGACCAACCUAGAUAGCAUAUUGAAAAGCAGAGACAUUACUUUGCCAACAAAGGUCCGUCUAGUCAAGGC